UACAGCCAUAUCACGUUGAAACACCGGUUCUCGUUCGAUCACCGACGUUAAGCAAUGUCAAUUCCGGUCAGUCCCAAAGUGGGUUAUCGCUUGUGAAUACCAGGUGCUGUAAG